GCGGACGGCUCAGUAACACGUGGCUAACCUACCCUCGGGUGGGGGAUAACCUCGGGAAACUGAGGAUAAUACCCCAUAGGAGAAGAGGUCUGGAAUGAUCCUUCUCUGAAAACAUAUGUGCCCGAGGAUGGGGCUGCGUCUGAUUAGGUAGUUGGUGGGGUAACGGCCCACCAAGCCUACGAUCAGUACGGGCCUUGAGAGAGGCAGCCCGGAGAUGGGGACUGAGACACGGCCCCAGGCCCUACGGGGCGCAGCAGGCGCGAAACCUCCGCAAUGCACGAAAGUGCGACGGGGGGACCCCAAGUGCUUACGCACUGCGUAGGCUUUUCUAAAGUGUAAAAAGCUUUAGGAAUAAGGGCUGGGCAAGUCCGGUGCCAGCAGCCGCGGUAACACCGGCGGCCCGAGUGGUGACCACUUUUAUUGGGCCUAAAGCGUCCGUAGCCGGUCCAGUAAGUCCCUGUUUAAAUCCUACGGCUUAACCGUAGGGCUGGCAGGGAUACUGCUGGACUUGGGACCGGGAGAGGGCGAGGGUACUUCAGGGGUAGCGGUGAAAUGUGUUGAUCCCUGGAGGACCACCUAUGGCGAAGGCACUCGCCUGGA
rnacentral:rRNA from 1 species